GAAAAAGAUGUACCGGAACUCACCAUGAAUGCCUCCCUUGUUCUCUUACAAUGGCAAUGACGCCCACCUGAGAGGUGCCGGAACUGAGUUCCAGCUGAAAAAGCCCUGAUGGAUUUCUCCACACAUCAUCUCUUCGUGAAUAAGAAAUGGAUUCAUGAUACUCUUGGCUACGUGAGCAAAUUAAGUCAAUUAUUUUAACACCAAACCAGAAGGGCAAAAAGCAGUCCUUGGGGUCAAGGAGGAGGUGACAUGUGGUGCAGGCUUGGCCAGCAGAUUUUCACUCUGGGGUGGUGAGAUGUGGACACAGAAAACAAUGGACACUGGCAAAAUUGGGAUGGGAAGCAGCCUUGACCCCCAAACAAAAGCCAACAGUUCUUCGCCUGUGAACUACUCCUAAUUUAGAAAGGGCUGGACUGCCCCUCUGUCCCUGCAUCCCCCACACUCACCUGAAUUGAGAACCAGAUGGGCCAUCCUGCGACCCUGAAGAAGCGACGGAACUAAAAUGCAUUGCUACAAGUGAUAUUCAGCCAGAAGCAGCUGAUUAGCCAAGGCUCUAAAUGCCAGCA